AGAGUUUGAUCCUGGCUCAGAUUGAACGCUGGCGGCAUGCCUUACACAUGCAAGUCGAACGGCAGCACGGGAGCAAUCCUGGUGGCGAGUGGCGAACGGGUGAGUAAUAUAUCGGAACGUGCCCAGUCGUGGGGGAUAACGCAGCGAAAGCUGUGCUAAUACCGCAUACGAUCUCUGGAUGAAAACGGGGGACUCGCAAGGGCCUCGCGCGAUUGGAGCGGCCGAUAUCAGAUUAGCUAGUUGGUGGGGUAAAAGCCCACCAAGGCGACGAUCUGUAGCUGGUCUGAGAGGACGACCAGCCACACUGGAACUGAGACACGGUCCAGACUCCUACGGGAGGCAGCAGUGGGGAAUUUUGGACAAUGGGCGCAAGCCUGAUCCAGCAAUGCCGCGUGCAGGAUGAAGGCCUUCGGGUUGUAAACU
rnacentral:rRNA from 1 species